GUAGGUGGCAAGCGUUGUCCGGAAUUAUUGGGGCGUAAAGCGCGCGCAGGCGGUUCUUUAAGUCUGAUGUGAAAGCCCACGGGCUCAACCGUGGAGGGUCAUUGGAAACUGGAGAACUUGAGUACAGAAGAGGAAAGCGGAAUUCCACGUGUAGCGGUGAAAUGCGUAGAGAUGUGGAGGAACACCAGUGGCGAAGGCGGCUUUCUGGUCUGUAACUGACGCUGAGGCGCGAAAGCGUGGGGAGCAAACAGGAUUAGAUACCCUGGUAGUCCACGCCGUAAACGAUGAGUGCUAAGUGUUAGGGGGUCUCCGCCCCUUAGUGCUGCAGCUAACGCAUUAAGCACUCCGCCUGGGGAGUACGGCCGCAAAGGCUG
rnacentral:rRNA from 1 species